rnacentral:antisense_RNA from 1 species
GAAAUUGUCGUCUUCGGCAGAGAGCAGGGCGUUGAUGAAGUUCGGCGGAAUCUCGGCGAAGCGGAUAGGGGUACGGCGCAUUUCGCCAAACUCCGCAAUCAACUUGCCAUCGCUGCUGUAGACGCGCAGAGGUAUUUGCAGUUGGAUGCUGCGCAGCGCUUCAACAGACGGAAGGUUCGGGCUCAGAUAAAGAAAGGCACCGCUGAGGCCGAGUAACAGCGCACAGAAUACGGCGACGAGAGACCACCAGAAAAACUUCAGCAGGCGUAUCAAGGCUUUUUGAUUUCCAGAAUA